UUGCUGAAUAAUAAUCUUAUCUGGUGUGGAUCAGGUUCCCACUAAUGGCAAGCUUUGUGCUGACAAGCAAAACCAAAUCUUUAGUUGGAACGUUGUAUCAGUCAAUUUUGUGCUAAUAACCAUGAAUACAAGCAUAAUUAGUAUCCUCUGCUUGUAGUGGCAAGGCCAAGGGUGAGCUUCUGGCAAGCGAUGGAGAUGUAGAAGACGAGGUGGGUGAGAGAGAGAGGAGGGGGAUGGAAAUCCAAGCAUUAUACUGGACAUAAACACUAGACUUGGAGUAGCACAGCUGUGCAGGUGCAGCAGUUGGAAAGCUCAUCAAUUUGGUGACGAAGUGAAGGUUGCCCAAGCUGAUGAUUCAAGUAAUUAGUAAAAUUUACUAGUGAGACUUGCCGGAUAACAUUAGGCAAUCGAUGCUUGCAAAGUUUUUGAAGGUAUAGAUAUGAAUUUGUCACAA